rnacentral:rRNA from 1 species
UACGAAGGGGGCUAGCGUUGCUCGGAAUUACUGGGCGUAAAGCGCGCGCAGGUGGUCUGUUAAGUUGGGGGUGAAAGCCCGGAGCUCAACUCCGGAAUUGCCUUCAAAACUGGCAGGCUAGAGUUCGGAAGAGGAGAGUGGAAUUCCCAGUGUAGAGGUGAAAUUCGUAGAUAUUGGGAAGAACACCAGUGGCGAAGGCGGCUAUCUGGUCCGACACUGACAAUGAGGCGCGAAAGCGUGGGGAGCAAACAGG